rnacentral:rRNA from 1 species
UACGAAGGGGGCUAGCGUUGCUCGGAAUCACUGGGCGUAAAGCGCACGUAGGCGGAUUGUUAAGUCAGGGGUGAAAUCCUGGAGCUCAACUCCAGAACUGCCUUUGAUACUGGCGAUCUUGAGUCCGGGAGAGGUGAGUGGAACUGCGAGUGUAGAGGUGAAAUUCGUAGAUAUUCGCAAGAACACCAGUGGCGAAGGCGGCUCACUGGCCCGAUACUGACGCUGAGGCACGAAAGCGUGGGGAUCAAACAGG